UUUUUAUUCCGUCUGCCAUUUAUUUGGGGCUUGGGACCAUGAGGUCAUACAUUUUUCCCCCGAAUAGUUACCAGCGUCCUCAGGGCUAUUAUUAACAUCUUCUUUCCUCUGUGGAUUUGCGAUGAUACCUUUAUUUUGAGAGCAGCGUCUUCUGAGUGGAGUGUCUCUGCUUCCUCUCUCCUGGUCUGUGCGAGUAACUGCAGACCUUGUUUGAUGGACUUUUGCUCUACAGUUUUGACGUCUUCAUGUCUGAAAUGAAAGUCUCUUCGUUGCUGGUCUAUUUAAAAUGCUCUGGUCUGUUGUACCUGUUAUCUGCUGCUGCAUAACAAAUAACCCCGAAAAUCUAGCCUCUUCAAACAACAAGCAUUUACUAUCCCACACAGUGUCAUGGCUCUGGGAGUGCUCCAGGGGAUGGCUCUGCCUCAGGAGCUGUCCUUAGCUGGCUCCAAGGGGCCACCAGACUGCAGUCAUCUGAAGGCUGGACUAGGGCGGGGGGGGCCCACGUGGACCCAACAUGGCAGCUGGUGCCCCCAAAAAGAAGACAGCAACCAGCACAGGAGUCCCCCAUCCCCUGCGUGGAGGUGCUCUCUGGCUUCUGCUGCAUUCUCAGCGACCACAUGGGGGGGCCCCACCGGACGUGACCUCCGGGAGGUGGGGGCCUUCUUGUAGGCGGACCCCCACAGCUGGCUUUGUUCGUGGUUUCAUUCAAAAUAACUUUAGAGUCAUUCAAAAAAAAGAGACGAGUUUGACUUUGUCCACCUCUGUGUGUGGCCAUGGGAAGGGCUUACGUCGUCACCGUAUUUAUUCCGGUCCUGAGGCAAAGGCGACAUUCCUCUUCCUUCAUGUUUGUCUCACACGUUUAUGGCCCAGGCUCCCUUUCUCCAGCAUUUUCCCGACUCGUCUGGAAGCCCCUGGUUUGGUUUUGUGCCUGGUCCUCUCGCUGGAGUCUGCAGCCUCAGGACCCCUAGGCAGGGGCUCCAGGGUCCUCAGAGAGUUCUUGACGACUGGACGACAGGGUUACGGGAACCAAGCCAGGCCAGGCCCUGUCUUCUGCAGGGGACACCUGCUGCCCACGGGUGAGCUGCUAGUGGGCCGGGAGGGUCCCAGGUCCUUGAGCCUCAGAAUCUCCUGGAAUGUCUUUUAAAAUAAGCCAGAUUUGGAGUUCUCUGGUGGCUCAGUAGAUUAAGGAUCCAGCAUUGUCACUCUUGUGACUCAGGUUUGAUCCCUGGCCCUGGGAAACUUCCGCAUGCUGCGGGCAAGGCAAACAAAACAAAACAAAACAAAACCCAAAAAACAAAAAAACCCAAACCCCAGCUUUCUCAGGCCCAGCCCAGGCCCAGCCAGGGCCUGGAGCCUUGGAUCUGGGGGGCGGCUCUUCGGGUACCAUGUUUUAUAAGAAGGGCACCCGCCCCAGAGGCAGGGGGUCGGCAGAAGGGCCUCUGGGGACCUCCCGUGAGUGCCCAGCAGAGAAGCCCUCUUCCACCGUCCAGGCCUAAGGCCCAGGUCUGAGCCCCCGCCUCAGCUGUCACCUGGCAGCCCACCCUGAGCCAGUCCUCUCGGGACUUGGAUGCUCAUGGCCACUCCCAGCCGGCCUUGGCCCAGCCCCUCCACUGGGAAAAGGAGGCUUGGAGGCCACAGACGGACGUGGCCAAGGUCACAGCAAGUGGGCGAGCUGACCCCCUGCUAAGUGCUCUCCUGAGCGCCUCUGGCCAGCAGGUUACCUCUGAGGCUGGGUUCUGCCACCCACCCCGCUCCCAGCUGCCCCGUGGUGAGGCCCUUGGAACCACUGUGUCCUGAGGGUGACACACAGGGAGGGAGACUUCAGUGUGCCCAGCCUCUUCUGACCCCACCUCGGGCUCACCCCAGCCCACCGGACCUGCACCCCGCCAGCAGAAGCACCCUGGGAACGGGCCCUUGUCUGGCCCCCAAAGGUUAAGAGUUUGGAGGCCAAAAGCCGGGUCUUCAGAAUGCUUGCGGCUGCCAGGAGUCAGCGCCCUCUCGUCAGAACCGGCUCCUUAAAAUACCGACACAGGCAGCCAGUGUCACUGUUGCCCCAGGACAGUGACACCCCCGAGUCCUCCCUCACCAGGUCCCUGGGCGUGGACAGGACAAUACCACACCCAUUUCACAGAUGAGGAAGUGGAGGCUCUGCGGGGCUAAGGAUGCUGCCUUGGGCACCUCAGCCGAGCUGAGCUGAGGACUGGGGUCUGGGUGCCCACCUGGAGGGCCGGCUCUGGACACGGGUGUCCCACCACUCUCUGUGGGCACAGGCUAACGUGUGUGAGCAGAAGGCCGGCCAGGAAUGGGGGUCUUUGUUUAGCAAACUGACACCCAGUGUCACCUGGCUGAGGGAACUAGAGCCAGUGCCAGCACCUCGCCCUGCUCCCCCAAACUUUCUAUCGUCCCUGUGACCUCAGGGAGGCGGGGGCCUGUGGAAGAUUCUGGAAACCACUUCCGCACACACUGCCUAUUGGGGCCAUCGGGCAGCGGCAGGACACCUCUCCCCUCAGGCGCCCAGACUCUGCGCCCGCCCCACCUUGGGCCCCCAACGGGCUGCCAUGGGGGCUGGGAACGAGCCGCAUCCCUCGACCAGCCGUUCAGGGUCCGCCCCCAGCCGCCUGUUCAUGCGACACUCUGCACACCUGGAGGCCUGGGGAGGGGGGCAUCCGUUUCCUGCCCUUGGUCCCUCGUGGAGAAGGCGUGGGGCGGUGGCUGGUGACCACAAGCAGUGGCCGCACCUCAGUGCCUUCCAGCCUGCACGUCCCCUCUGGGCCCAGUGGCCCACCUUUGAGGGUGGGGCGCCAGCACCCUCUGUCCAGAGUCCCGUAACCACCACUUUUCUGGAAAAUGUUCCUUAUGUCCCUGCUUUCAUGAGCCUGCAGGCGGGGCCCUGCGUGGCCUCGGGCCGUGUGGCCUGGAAGGGGGGAUGCUGGUCGGCUGGGGCCGAGCCCCGCAGGGAGCUCUCCUUCAGGGAACCAGACCUCCGGACCACCCGGGUGGGGGGGGCACCAGAGAGGCCGGGAGCCGAACACGUGUCUGUCAGCAGGUGGCUGCGUGUGACCACCGCACAGGACAGGCGGGGCCACCUCCCUGACCCGGAGGAUCAGGAAGGUGAUCCAGUCCUGCGGCCUCCAGCUCCCCCCACUGACAGGUGGGGAACGGGGGCUGGAGAGGAUGGGGCAGGGCCACGGUCACUAGAAGGAACCCAGGCAGACCAGCGGAGGGUAGACAGGCUGGGGAUGUGGCCAGAGCCACCGGCGCCAGAGGGACUGAGGGACAGAACAUCCAGGUGAUUCAGUGGACACUGGAAGGAGGGCCACCAGGGAACACAGGCUGGCAUCACGGUGCCCGAGGGAGGACCUGGCAGAGACUGAGGGCUGAGACGGCAAGUCAUCUAACUUCAGGGCUGACGGGGACACUGGGAGUCCCUCAGCUGAGGAGGGACCUGUCAGGGGCAGGGCUGGAGGGGGCAGCUAGCACACUGGGCAUCAGCUGGCCUGACCUCAGGG
rnacentral:lncRNA from 1 species